rnacentral:rRNA from 1 species
AACGAACGCUGGCGGCAUGCCUAACACAUGCAAGUCGAACGAGACCUUCGGGUCUAGUGGCGCACGGGUGCGUAACGCGUGGGAACCUGCCCUUAGGUUCGGAAUAACUCCCCGAAAGGGGUGCUAAUACCGGAUAAUGUCUUCGGACCAAAGAUUUAUCGCCUUUGGAUGGGCCCGCGUUGGAUUAGCUAGUUGGUAGGGUAAAAGCCUACCAAGGCGACGAUGCAUAGCUGGUCUGAGAGGAUGAUCAGCCACACUGGGACUGAGACACGGCCCAGACUCCUACGGGAGGCAGCAGUGGGGAAUAUUAGAGAAUGGGCGAAAGCCUGAUCCAGCAAUGCCGCGUGAGUGAUGAAGGCCUUAGGGUUGUAAAGCUCUUUUACCCGGGAUGAUAAUGACAGUACCGGGAGAAUAAGCUCCGGCUAACUCCGUG